UAUCUCAUUUUGGAACAUCAAAAUCUCUCUUUUCUCUAGUUUUAGGUUAGUUUUUCAUAGCUUGUACAUAGUUCUUUGAGUUCGUGUGAGAAAUAGGUAUGUAGUCACUUGGGUUUCACCAAAACCGAAGUUACUACAAGCUCUACAUCAAUCACAACACUUACUUUUAUACAUCCAAGCUCUUGUUCUUCCUUGUUCUUGAGCUUUGUGGAUGUGUAUGGUAUUUUGGGUUGUAAAAACCGAAAAUCCCAUACCUUGAAGCAAUUCUCUCAUCAUUUGACAUCUUUGAGAGCUAAGUGGGAGGUUUGAGAUCUCGGUUUGACUCCACCAAGUGUCAAACCCAUGGCCGGACGGCCAGAUCCCGUCUCCGAACAAUCAAGUCCCAAAUCUGGGAUGAGGCUUCGGUGAACGAAGCCAUCCUCGAAUCCUUGGAGUCGAUCGAGGUUUUGGACCGCAGCCAAGGGAUUCCGAUCAUGGAUUCCAGAUCCCGAGUCAGCGAAGGAGGAGGAGUCGGACGUGCCUCGAAGCCUCCCCAAUCAAAGCCCAACCCCAUUUCCACCUCAAAGUCCUCGUCAACUUCCAAGCCUUCGCCUUAGAGAACCCAGAGCCUCGAUCAGAAGAGACCCAAAUUGCUGGCCUCACACUCUGGUGGGUGCCCAGAGCAAUUUUCUGGGUGAGCAGAGCACUUUUUUUUUUUUGGUAUACUGUGAGCUUCCGGAAUGGGGAAGGGAAAAAAAGAAAAAAAAAAGUGAAUGUGUACAAUUGAACAUAUAAGUUGAUCAAUUGUGUCUGUAGUGUAUUCAUUUUGGUUUUGGGAGUUUAUGCAAUCCACUUGAGGGCAAUAAUAUGAUUAUUGGGAGCAAUAAUA